rnacentral:rRNA from 1 species
UACGUAGGUGGCGAGCGUUGUCCGGAUUUACUGGGCGUAAAGGGCGCGUAGGCGGCGCGGUAAGUCACUUGUGAAAUCUCUGAGCUUAACUCAGAACGGCCAAGUGAUACUGCAGUGCUAGAGUGUGGAAGGGGCAAUCGGAAUUCUUGGUGUAGCGGUGAAAUGCGUAGAUAUCAAGAGGAACACCUGAGGUGAAGACGGGUUGCUGGGCCAACACUGACGCUGAGGCGCGAAAGCCAGGGGAGCAAACGGG